UUCAAUUUAUUUGUCGUAAUUCCAGAUAGUGUAUAUGUUAAUUGCAGCAAGAUCCAGUUUUUUAAAGUGGUUUUGCGCACAUGGAUUUAAAAGAACUUCCUGACAAUAUAUAAGUUGUAGCCAGAGACACACCCCCAAAAAGGCAAUAUAAAUAACGCAUCAAGCAAUUUCGAAGUCAGUGAUAACCACGAAUCAACCACUUCAAAAUGUUCAAGCUCUUUGUUUUCCUAGCCCUUGUAGCUAUCGCUUUGGCUGCUCCCAGGCCCGAACCACAAAUUUUGGCUACUAGUCUUUAUGGGGGCUACGCCGGAUACGCCGGUUACACUGGCUUAGGAUAUGCUCCAUAUUCUUAUGGACUGGGAUACUUCUAACUAUUAUAAAUGAUACUAUGAAUAAAAUUUAUUAAGUACCAAAUAA